AUUGAACGCUGGCGGCAGGCCUAACACAUGCAAGUCGAGCGAGCGGCGGACGGGUGAGUAAUGUCUGGGAACCUACCUGAUGGAGGGGGAUAACAACUGGAAACGGUAGCUAAUACCGCAUACAAUCAGAUAUGCCCAUAUGGGAUUAGCUCGUAGGGGGGGUAAUGGCUCAACUAGGCGACGAUCCCUAGCUGGUCUGAGAGGAUGACCAGCCACACGGGAACUGAGACACGGUCCAGACUCCUACGGGAGGCAGCAGUGGGGAAUAUUGCACAAUGGGCGCAAGCCUGAUGCAGCCAUGCCGCGUGUAUGAAGAAGGCCUUCGGGUUGUAAAGCACUUUCAGCGGGGAGGCGUUACCCGCAGAAGAAGCACCGGCUAACUCCGUGCCAGCAGCCGCGGUAAUUC
rnacentral:rRNA from 1 species